GACGAACGCUGGCGGCGUGCUUAACACAUGCAAGUCGAACGAAGAGCGAUGGAAGCUUGCUUCUAUCACUCUUAGUGGCGAACGUGUGAGUAACGCGUAAUCAACCUGCCCUUCAGAGGGGGACAACAGUUGGAAACGACUGCUAAUACCGCAUACGAUCUAAUCUCGGCAUCGAGGAUAGAUGAAAGGUGGCCUCUACAUGUAAUCUAUCACUGAAGGAGGGGAUUGCGUCUGAUUAGCUAGUUGGAUGGGUAACGGCCCACCAAGGCGAUGAUCAGUAGCCGGUCUGAGAGGAUGAACGGCCACAUUGGGACUGAGACACGGCCCAGACUCCUACGGGAGGCAGCAGUGGGGAAUCUUCCGCAAUGGACGAAAGUCUGACGGAGCAACGCCGCGUGAGCGAUGACGGCCUUCGGGUUGUAAAGCUCUGUUAAUCGGGACGAAAGGCCUUCUUGCGAAUAGUGAGAAGGAUUGACGGUACCGGAAUAGAAAGCCACGGCUAACUACGUG
rnacentral:rRNA from 1 species